AGAUGAGCAUGAUGACUGUGACUUCUGGCACCCCAUUGAUUGCCAGGCAUGAUUUGCUGAUCUGAUUGGCUAGACAGGGCCCUAUUUUCUCAUGUUUCUAUGUAUCCUCCCAAAGCUGCACAGAGAGUAUGACCUUUCCCUGUAAAGGAGAAUGUCCUUUAGUCAAGGUAUAUAAGUAGCUUCACUCUCCUGUUAGAACCUCCUAUCAGGCUCUAGGAGUAUUAUCUCCCCAUUUAGCAAUUGGCUGUUGUAUACAUAUAAAAUAGUGUGAAGAUAAAAACCCUGAAAAAUUAAGUUUUAAGCCAGAUGCAGUGGCACACUCCUG
rnacentral:snRNA from 1 species